rnacentral:rRNA from 1 species
UACGUAGGGGGCAAGCGUUGUCCGGAUUUAUUGGGCGUAAAGAGCGUGUAGGCGGCCAUGCAGGUCAGCUGUGAAAACUCGAGGCUCAACCUCGAGACGUCGGUUGAAACCGUAUGGCUAGAGUCCGGGAGAGGAGAGUGGAAUUCCUGGUGUAGCGGUGAAAUGCGCAGAUAUCAGGAAGAACACCCGUGGCGAAAGCGGCUCUCUGGAACGGUACUGACGCUGAGACGCGAAAGCGUGGGGAGCGAACAGG